rnacentral:rRNA from 1 species
AACGAACGCUGGCGGCAUGCCUAACACAUGCAAGUCGAACGAAACCUUCGGGUCUAGUGGCGCACGGGUGCGUAACGCGUGGGAACCUGCCCUUAUGGUCGGAAUAACUCCCCGAAAGGGGUGCUAAUACCGGAUAAUGUCUUCGGACCAAAGAUUUAUCGCCUUGGGAUGGGCCCGCGUGAGAUUAGCUAGUUGGUAGGGUAAAAGCCUACCAAGGCGAGGAUCCAUAGCUGGUAUGAGAGGAUGAUCAGCCACACCGGGACUGAGACACGGCCCAGAAUCUUCCGGAAUGCAGGAGUGCGUAAUAUUGGAACAUGGGCGAAAGCAUGAUCCAGCAAUGCCGGGUGAGUGAUGAAGGCCUUAGGGUUGUAAAGCUCUUUUACCCGGGAUGAUAAUGACAGUACCGGGACAAUAAGCCCCGGCUAACUCCGUG